CCUACGGGUGGCAGCAGUGAGGAAUAUUGGUCAAUGGCCGGAAGGCUGAACCAGCCAUGCCGCGUGAAGGUCAGUGCCCUAUGGGCGUUAAACUUCUUUUGUGCGGGAGCAAUAAUGGUCACGUGUGGCCCGACGAGAGUACCGUACGAAUAAGCAUCGGCUAACACCGCGCCACCAGCCGCGGUAAUACGGGGGAUGCAAGCGUUAUCCGGAGUUAUUGGGUGUAAAGGGUGCGUAGGCUGUGAGGUAAGUCAGCGGUGAAAUGCCCCCGCUCAACGGGGUGAAGUGCCAUUGAUACUGCCUUGCUGGAGUGCGGAUGCCGUAGGAGGAAUGUGUGGUGUAGCGGUGAAAUGCAUAGAUAUCACACAGAACACCGAUUGCGAAGGCAUCUCACGAAUCCGCGAUUGACGCUGAUGCACGAAAGCGUGGGUAUCGAACAGGAUUAGAUACCCCAGUAGUC
rnacentral:rRNA from 1 species